rnacentral:rRNA from 1 species
AACGAACGCUGGCGGCAGGCCUCAAACAUGCAAGUCUAGGGGGUGUAGCAAUACAUCACCGGCGGACGGGUGCGUAACGCGUGGGAAUGUACCUAUUGGUUCGGAACAACACAGGGAAACUUGUGCUAAUACCGGAUGAGCCCGAAAGGGGAAAGAUUUCUCGCCAAUAGAUCAGCCCGCGUCCGAUUAGCUAGUUGGUGGGGUUAAAGCCUACCAAGGCGACGAUCGGUAGCUGUUCUGAGAGGAAGAUCAGCCACACUGGGACUGAGACACGGCCCAGACUCCUACGGGAGGCAGCAGUUGGGAAUCUUGGACAAUGGGGGAAACCCUGAUCCAGCCAUGCCGCGUGAGUGAUGAAGGCCUUCGGGUUGUAAAACUCUUUCGACGGGGACGAUAAUGACGGUACCCGUAGAAGAAGCUCCGGCUAACUUCGUGCCAGCAGCCGCGGUAAUACGAAGGGGGCUAGCGUUGUUCGGAAUUACUGGGCGUAAAGCGCGCGCAGGCGGUCUUCCAAGUCAGUGGUGAAAGCCCGGAGCUCAACUCCGGAACUGCCAUUGAAACUGUGA